rnacentral:rRNA from 1 species
UACGUAGGGGGCAAGCGUUGUCCGGAAUCAUUGGGCGUAAAGAGCGUGUAGGCGGCUCGAUAAGUCUGCUGUGAAAGUCCAGGGCUCAACCCUGGAAGGCCGGUGGAAACUGUCGGGCUAGAGUCCGGAAGAGGCGAGUGGAAUUCCCGGUGUAGCGGUGAAAUGCGCAGAUAUCGGGAGGAACACCAAUGGCGAAGGCAGCUCGCUGGGACGGUACUGACGCUGAGACGCGAAAGCGUGGGGAGCAAGCAGG